rnacentral:rRNA from 1 species
GAUGAACGCUAGCUACAGGCUUAACACAUGCAAGUCGAGGGGCAGCAUGAACUUAGCUUGCUAAGUUUGAUGGCGACCGGCGCACGGGUGAGUAACACGUAUCCAACCUGACGAUGACUCGGGGAUAGCCUUUCGAAAGAAAGAUUAAUACCCGAUGGCAUAGUUCUUCCGCAUGGUAGAACUAUUAAAGAAUUUCGGUCAUCGAUGGGGAUGCGUUCCAUUAGGUUGUUGGCGGGGUAACGGCCCACCAAGCCUUCGAUGGAUAGGGGUUCUGAGAGGUAGGUCCCCCACAUUGGAACUGAGACACGGUCCAAACUCCUACGGGAGGCAGCAGUGAGGAAUAUUGGUCAAUGGACGAGAGUCUGAACCAGCCAAGUAGCGUGAAGGAUGACUGCCCUAUGGGUUGUAAACUUCUUUUAUACGGGAAUAAAGUGAGGCACGUGUGCCUUUUUGUAUGUACCGUAUGAAUAAGGAUCGGCUAACUCCGUG